GGUCACCGUGCCCUAAGGGGCCCUAAGGGGUAUGGUCACCGGGCCCUAAGGGGUAUGGUCACCGUGCCCUAAGGGGCCCUAAGGGGUAUGGUCACCGUGCCCUAAGGGGUAUGGUCAGCGUGCCCUAAGGGGUAUGGUCACCGUGCCCUAAGGGGCCCUAAGGGGUAUGGUCACCGUGCCAUAAGGGGUAUGGUGGUCACCGUGCCCUAAGGGGUAUGGUGGUCACCGUGCCCUAAGGGGUACGGUCACCGUGCCCUAAGGGGCCCUAAGGGGUAUGGUGGUCACCGUGCCCUAAGGGGCCCUAAGGGGCCCGGUCACCGCGCCCUAAGGGGCCCUAAGGGGCCCUAAGGGGUAUGACCACCGUCACCGUGGUGAAGACAGUUGGAGCGUUGUAAUGGGCCAGGGUUCCUCUGAGGGUCUCUCACUGCGACUAAACGGUUCCUCCUGUCCUCCACCUCGGGGGUCCAGCUGCAUGCCCCCCUCCCCAGAGGACGGACGCCCCCCCUCUGAGCCUAAGGGGGGCCGACAGGACGGACCGCCCCCCCCCACGGCCCACAGCCAGCCCCCUCAGCGGGCGGGACCGGACGCCGGCAAGGUCCCCAAGUGGCUGAAGCUCCCAGGUACAGACUAGGGGACCCCCGCCUCCUCUAGGAGACAGACUAGGGGACACCCGCCUCCUCUA
ensembl:lncRNA